UUUCCGUAGGUGAACCUGCGGAAGGAUCAUUGUCGGUAACUGAACAAAUAGACCGUGAACAUGUUUUAACACUAGGGAUCGCUGCGUGGGGCAACCUCGUAGUGUGUCCUCCUCCCGCGUGGGCUGUGGGCUAACAAAAACCGGCGCGGCAUGCGCCAAGGAAAACUCAUAGGACCGCCUGCCCCCAUUGCCCCGUCUGCGGUGAGCGAGGGGGGCGUGCCUCAAUGUCUAAAUGACUCUCGGCAACGGAUAUCUCGGCUCUUGCAUCGAUGAAGAACGUAGCGAAAUGCGAUACUUGGUGUGAAUUGCAGAAUCCCGUGAACCAUCGAGUCUUUGAACGCAAGUUGCGCCUGAAGCCUCACGGCCGAGGGCACGCCUGCCUGGGCGUCACGCAUCUCGGCGUCCCCCGCCUCCCCCGGAUAUUGGCCUCCCGUGGGCAUUGGCCCUCGGCUGGCUUAAAUGAAAUCACGUGGUGCCUGCCGUCACGACAAGCGUUGGUUGAGCACUACACUCUCUACCUGUCGUGUUGGGAGCACCUCAUACUGACGGACCCAACGGUGCGAGUGAUCGUGCCUAUGUACGCGACCCCAGGUCAGGCGGGAUCACCCGCUGAGUUUAA
rnacentral:rRNA from 1 species